GCAAUAGCAAAGGUUUCUCAAGGGUGGUCGGCUCACUCCACUGUCAAAGCAUGUCUUUGCAGGAAUGGAGGUGAGGCCGUAUGACUGUAUUUGAAUCGCUUAUGUUUACCGUAGCGUUUACGGGGCUGGUUAUUUCAAUUCUGUCAUUCCAGAAAAAAGAUUAAAACCGCCCUUGAGGUUUUAGCGAGCCCGGGCGGUUUUAGCCUGUUGUGACGCCGAUUCCCGUAAUGGAAACCAGCUAUUGUAAUCGCCUUUUCGAUGCUGGACACAUCGAAAAGG
rnacentral:sRNA from 1 species